rnacentral:lncRNA from 1 species
ACCGCGUGUGUCAAUCGAUGCCAUUUGCCAAUAUAUAUGUUAUCGGCUCUCUCCGACCAAAAAACAAAACCUCUUGACGAGAGCUAUGCAUGCAUGUUUGUCUUGCUGACGACAGGCCUGUGUAGAAAAGGUAGACAACAGAUCAAACUUUUCUUCCAUCUCUGUCAAAGAACAAUACUGUAGAUGGACAAAUAACCCUGAAAAGUAUGGUAUUAUAAACAAAACAACUUGUCGAGUUUCCUUGUGCAGGUAGAUAUAGUAGAUGAACCACCCAAAAAGCCUUUUCAAAAGAACACCCAAAAAGCUCCCUCGCCAAUUCUUUUUGUUCCCUUGCCAAACAACACAAACCAAAUCCAGAAACCAGACUCAUCAGUCAUCAGACAGGAAAAGUGGAGAGAAAAAAGGACGACUUGGAUUUCACAUCGAAGCUAGUAGCGGUCAGUCUCAUCGACCUGCUCCCAUUUAUGUAAAAUCAAAGACCUAAACACAUCCUUUCCACAUAUUCCAGCAACUUCCUCCUUCUCCUUGGAUGGACUAGGUACAGAGGAGCUAGCCUUUUUUGCAUGAUGCAAUGGCCUUUUCCAAUUUGGUAGUUGUAACCAGGGCAGCAUGUAUUUAAGUUGUGAUCUUCUUGAAAGGUUUCUGGCUGGUAUUUGUGGACAUGCUUACCUACCUGGAAUGCCCGGGCAUGCAAAAGCGAAAUGUUGGUUUCAGCUGAGAAUGAUAAUAGCAUAGAGUAUGUAUAUGUCUUUUCAGGUUGUCUGGUGCAUGCAUUAUAUUUCUUGAUUGAUGUGCUCAUUGAGGUAGUCUCACCAAACCCACCAACGCAUCAUCAUAUGGUUUCCUUUUAGGAGGAUCUACAUAGAGUGGGC